CAGCCGCCGCGGUAAUACGUAGGGUGCGAGCGUUAAUCGGAAUUACUGGGCGUAAAGCGCGCGUAGGCGGUGAGUUAAGUCUGCUGUGAAAUCCCCGGGCUUAACCUGGGAAUGGCGGUGGAUACUGGCUCGCUAGAGUGUGUCAGAGGAUGGUGGAAUUCCCGGUGUAGCGGUGAAAUGCGUAGAGAUCGGGAGGAACAUCAGUGGCGAAGGCGGCCAUCUGGGACAACACUGACGCUGAGGCACGAAAGCGUGGGGAGCAAACAGGAUUAGAUACCCCCGUAGUCCCUGUCUCUUAUAC
rnacentral:rRNA from 1 species